rnacentral:rRNA from 1 species
CGGUUAGNGAUNUGAGGAAUACGAUGGCGAAGGCAGCUUCUGGUCAUCAUAUUGUAUACUGAGGUUCGAAAGACGUGGGUAGCAAACAGGAUUAGAUACCCUGUAGUCCACGCCGUAAACGAUGUCUACUAGUCGUUGGGUCCCUUGUAGGACUUAGUGACGCAGCUAACGCAAUAGUAGAACGCCUGGGGAGUACGGCCGCAGGUUAAAACUCAAAUGAAUUGACGGGGGCCGCACAAGCGGUGGAGCAUGUGGUUUAAUUCGAUGCAACGCGAAGAACCUUACCUGGUCUUGACAUAUCUAGAAUCCUGCAGAGAUGCGGGAGUGCCUUCGGGAAGUUAGAAUACAGGUGCUGCAUGGCUGUCGUCAGCUCGUGUCGUGAGAUGUUGGGUUAAGUCCCGCAAACGAGCGCAACCCUCGUGUUUAGUUGCCAUCAUUAAGUUGGGCACUCUAAACAGACUGCCGGUGACAAACCGGAGGAAGGUGGGGAUGACGUCAAGUCAGCAUGACCCCCUGUCGACGCGGCCG